rnacentral:rRNA from 1 species
CCGCACAAGCGGCGGAGCAUGCGGAUUAAUUCGAUGCAACGCGAAGAACCUUACCAAGGCUUGACAUGAACCGGAAAGACCUGGAAACAGGUGCCCCGCUUGCGGUCGGUUUACAGGUGGUGCAUGGUUGUCGUCAGCUCGUGUCGUGAGAUGUUGGGUUAAGUCCCGCAACGAGCGCAACCCUCGUUCUAUGUUGCCAGCACGUGAUGGUGGGGACUCAUAGGAGACUGCCGGGGUCAACUCGGAGGAAGGUGGGGACGACGUCAAAUCAUCAUGCCCCUUAUGUCUUGGGCUUCACGCAUGCUACAAUGGCCGGUACAAAGGGUUGCGAUACUGUGAGGUGGAGCUAAUCCCAAAAAGCCGGUCUCAGUUCGGAUUGGGGUCUGCAACUCGACCCCAUGAAGUCGGAGUCGCUAGUAAUCGCAGAUCAGCAACGCUGCGGUGAAUACGUUCCCGGGCCUUGUACACACCGCCCGUCAAGUCACGAAAGUUGGUAACACCCGAAGCCGGUGGCCUAACCCCUUGUGGGAGGGAGCUGUCGAAGGUGGGACUGGCGAUUGGGACUAAGUCGUAACAAGGUAGCCGUACCGGAAGGUGCGGCUGGAUCACCUCCUU